rnacentral:rRNA from 1 species
GAUGAACGCUGGCGGCGUGCCUAAUACAUGCAAGUCGAGCGAACAGACGAGGAGCUUGCUCCUCUGACGUUAGCGGCGGACGGGUGAGUAACAAGUGGAUAACCUACCUCUUAGACUGGGAUAACUUCGGGAAACCGGAGCUAAUACCGGAUCAUAUAUUGAACCGCAUGGUUCAAUAGUGAAAGACGGUUUUGCUGUCACUUAUAGAUGGUUCCGCGCCGCAUUAGCUAGUUGGUAAGGUAACGGCUUACCAAGGCAACGAUGCGUAGCCGACCUGAGAGGGUGAUCAGCCACACUGGAACUGAGACACGGUCCAGACUCCUACGGGAGGCAGCAGUAGGGAAUCUUCCGCAAUGGGCGAAAGCCUGACGGAGCAACGCCGCGUGAGUGAUGAAGGUCUUCGGAUCGUAAAACUCUGUUAUUAGGGAAGAACAAAUGUGUAAGUAACUAUGCACGUCUUGACGGUACCUAAUCAGAAAGCCACGGCUAACUACGUG